GGAGAGGUGACAGAGUGGUCGAAUGUACCGGACUUGAAAUCCGGCGUAGCCGCAAGGUUACCGCGGGUUCGAAUCCCGCCCUCUCCGCCA
rnacentral:tRNA from 1 species